GGAGCCGUCGCAUAGCCAGGUUUAUUGCAGCCGAUUGAUAAUCGACCAGGGUGUUAGCAGCACCCUCGUGGGUUCAAAUCCCACCGGCUCCG
rnacentral:tRNA from 1 species